GAUGAAGAACGUAGCGAAAUGCGAUAAGUAAUGUGAAUUGCAGAAUUCCGUGAAUCAUCGAAUCUUUGAACGCACAUUGCGCCCGCCAGUAUUCUGGCGGGCAUGCCUGUUCGAGCGUCAUUUCAACCAUCAAGCCCCCCGGCUUGUGUUGGGGACCUGCGGCUGCCGCAGGCCCUGAAAUCCAGUGGCGGGCUCGCCGUAGCACCGAGCGUAGUAGCGCACUUCUCGCUCCGGUAGCAGCGGCGGGCGCUUGCCGUAAAACCCCCCCUAAAAUCUCAAGGUUGACCUCGGAUCAGGUAGGAAUACCCGCUGAACUUAAGCAUAUCAAUAAGCGGAGGA
rnacentral:misc_RNA from 1 species